GACGAACGCUGGCGGCGUGCUUAACACAUGCAAGUCGAACGAAGUGGGGAACGGGUGAGUAAUACGUGGGUAACCUGCCCUCCUUUUUGGGAUAAACCUUGGAACCGGGGUCUAAUAACGAAUAACGGGGGAUGGGUUCGCGGCCGAUCAGCGUGUUGGGGGGGUGAUGGACUACCAAGGCGGUGACGGGUAGGUGGCCUGAGAGGGUGACCGGCCACAUUGUGAGUGAGAGACGGCCAAGACAGCUAGGGGUGGGAGCCGUGGGGGAGAGUGCACAAUGGGGGAAAGCCUGAGGCGGGUACGCGGCGUGGGGGAUGAAGGCGUUCGGGUUGUAAACCGCUGUCGCUAUCGAACGGGUAGGUGGAGAAGAAGCGCCGGCUAACUACGUGCCAGCCGCCGCGGUAAUUC
rnacentral:rRNA from 1 species